UUAAAUCAGUGGUGGCUUACUGUGGCUCCCAAACUGUUUUUGAACUAGCCUUAAAACUGUCUUACAACAAAGAGGAGUUAGGCGCUCACUAAAUAAACUAAAAACUGUCUUAGUGGUUAUGGUCCCAGGAGUCCCAUGUUAAACCAUCAAACUGCUUAAGAACUAUUUGACACUUACCUGUAUUUUUCAAGCUUCCCCAUUGCAUGUGGUCUGAGCUGGUCAUUUCUUUUUAUUAUACAGAGUUGGGACAUUAUUUAUUAUCUGAGAGCCACAAGCGGAUAUUAUCGGUCAAUAAUGUUUCGACAUGGUGUGAGUUAGUAUGAUAAUGCAGAAAUAUGAAAUGAAUCUAUUUCAUCUCAGACUGGAAGCUUUGCAGGCAACAGACAGGCGGAUAAGUGUCAAAUUGUCCCUAAACAGGAUGCAGCCAGGGUAACUCCUGUAGAGCAGAUGUGCCC